GAUUUCUCCUGCCCCAUCCCACCGCUUUUUAUCAAAACAGGGGCGGGGAUGACGCUUCGUUAUUGUUUUAACUGCUGAUCGGUGCUUUAAGUAAAAAAUGUAAGAUUGACAAUCUAAUGUAGAAAAUGUUUUGAUUUGACAGAUUCCGCAAAACUGAAUGCCGCUACACCAUCUACAUAGAUGGUCAAAACUGUUGUUUUUGUUCUCUCACCAUGUUCUCCUGUUUCCACAGGUGACCUCACAAGGAGAUUCCACAGGGGACCUCACAAGGAGAUUCCACAGGGGACCUCACAAGGAGAUUCCACAGGGGACCUCACAAGGAGAUUCCACUGCUCUGGUGACAGGAAGAAGAUAUGAAACAUUCAAACUCUGCGGGGACAAAAUGAAUCGAGAGGAGGGAGUGUUGAUGGAUGAAAUUGAAAAGAGUUUAUGGAAUUUGACUGAGGACAAUUUACGUUACCUGUGUGAACAUCAUGGACAUGAUGGAUCUGAACUUAAAGCAAUGGAUCACCGCUCGUUGCGGCGUAAAAUCAUGGAGGAAAUGUGGGACAAUACUGAUUCAAUUAAAUUAAAGGAGCAGGGAACGUCUUGGUUACACCAACUGAAAGAGGACAUCCGAAGGAUACUGGAGGAUGCUAGCAGUGCACCCUCGAGUCCCCUCCAGGCUGAGGAUGCGAGCAGUGAACCCUCGAGUCCCCUCCAGGCUGAGGAUGCGAGCAGUGAACCCUCGAGUCCCCUCCAGGCUGAGGAUGCUAGCAGUGCCCCCUCGAGUCCCCUCCAGGCUGAGGAUGCUGUAGACUGUGAUGAAGAGUGGAGCGGAGAGGGAGGGGCUGGGUUACCUAGCGACGGGUUGGAGGCGGAGUCCAUGAGUCCCAGACAAUCCAACGACGCUGCAGACUG
ensembl:lncRNA